UACGAAGGGUGCAAACGUUGCUCGGAAUUACUGGGCGUAAAGAGCGCGCAGGCGGUCGUUCAAGUCGAGUGUGAAAGCCCCCGGCUCAACUGGGGAGGGUCAUUCGAUACUGAUCGACUGGAAGGCAGGAGAGGGAAGCGGAAUUCCCGGUGUAGUGGUGAAAUGCGUAGAUAUCGGGAGGAACACCAGUGGCGAAGGCGGCUUCCUGGCCUGUUCUUGACGCUGAGGCGCGAAAGCUAGGGGAGCAAACGGG
rnacentral:rRNA from 1 species